CACUCAGUGGGCCAAAUAAUUUGAUCGAAACAUCAUUUCUAAAGCCAUUCUCUUGGAAUUUUUAAUUGUCAUACAACAUACCCUUCACAAAAUGAAUGGACUGCAUUCAUCAAGGACCUUUUAUCAACCCUUCCUAAGGGAGAAAACCUUAAUAACAACAACAAAGUUUACAGUUCCAGAAUUUUGACUUACCCUGGACACAUGGUUUUUCCUCACUUACAAGCCUCCUUCAGUUUCUAG
rnacentral:lncRNA from 1 species